UUAAAGUUAUCAUUAUAAUAAUGCACUGACAGUAUAUUUCUAAAAUACAUUAUUUAGUAUUCUUUAGAAACAGUAUAUUUUAAGCACAUUUUGAAAGUAUAUGGGGUGUACAAAUGUAUAUUAUUUUAUGGAGAAAUAACGUGGGCUUAAAAUUACGAGAGAGCAGUAUGUUCUGUUACAUUUUAUAUUGUAGAUGUAUACAUUUGUAAUAUACUAUUAACAUAAUAAGGUACACUUUAACUUCACUAUAGUCAAGCAUUGGAUAAACCAAUGAACUGUGUUUUACCACAAAAUAACCAUGGUUUUGCUAAUAAUAGUCAAUACACCAAAAAAAAAACAUGGUUACUAAACUUUUACCACAAUAAAAAAACAUUCAUUUUCGUAAGGGGAAUAUGAGUGUUUGUUUUUUUGUAGUUUUUGAGUCAAUUGCAUACCGCUUUUAGCUGUACACAUUAAUUAACUUAAACAGUUUUCGUAAAUGCAUUUCAGAGAAAAGUGAAUUCUGAGAUUUGAAUAAUGCAUCUGACGUGUGGGAUGACGUCACAACGCACGUAUUUUGAUUUUUACCAGUCGUUCAAGACAGACGGAUUCAGUCCCAAGAAGCUAAAGUUUUUCAAAGACAUUUGUAGGGAGGACUUUGCAGCUAAUGAUUUCCUAAGGCUGAACCAAAACCUGCCAGACUAAAGUUAAUUUGGGAGAGAAAGACGUUGUAAACUUAAUCGUCUUGACAUUCUUCAAUGAGUAAUUGUUAAAUUUUUAGGCAAAUACUGUACACUUUGAAUGCUGUGAAUAAAACUAUAUUUUAAAUAUAUUUAAAAUGAAUUGUUUUUGACUGUUUUAAUCAGCUUUUAUUUAUUUGGAAAAAAUUAUUUUGGUUAUGUUACCAGCAAGUAAUCUAUUCCCAA